AAUAGGAUGCAUGGAAGUUGGCAAUAUAUCCCAUGGUUCUCAAACCAAUCUUUAUUUUUAUUGAACCAAAGUUACACAUGUUUCUCACAACAUGGCACACUGGAAAGGCCUUUCCUGACACAAACACGAAUACAUUUUGGAUCAAAUAUAGCAUUAAAUGAUGAAAUUGAUUUCUGGCACAAGACCUCUAAUGUAUACUCUUAUACCCAUCUAAGAUGAAAUCUACCUUAAAAUGUCCUGACUCUCAGCUCUCUCUG